UGAACUUUGCUACAGUUCCAUCAGGUUUGUACUUGACUGUGUAAAUCCAUUUCGAGCUCACAAGGUGAGCACCUUCAGGUAAGGUCUUUGUCAUUGUAUUGUGUCACUCAUGCGGAUGCAUUUCAGCAUUCAUGGCUUCUCGCCACUGGGCAGCAUGAGGUCCAGCUAAUGCCUCGUCAACAUUCGCUGGAAUGGGGAUUUGCCCUGGAUUAGCAGCCAUGAAGUUAGCCUGGUGCGUUCCUUUCUUUUUAAUUUUUCCAAAACUAAAGAAGGGACGAGAUUGCUCAGCUUUCAGUUGCAGCCUCGAUGGUACUGGAACUCUAGCAGAGCGCUGAGGUUCAGGACGUGCUGGAGGGUGGAUCACUGGUGGUGGAACAAGUGGAGAAUCUGGGAGAGCUCCCACUGAAGUUGGCGACUGCUUCCAGCUCCCACUGAAGGUGAUGAUCCACGUCCAGCUCCCACUGAAGAUGAGCUGAGGAAGAACUCAGGAGCAGCUUGAAAUUCCUCGUCGCCCUCGAAGUAAGUGUUCAUCAGCUUUUCAGAGGUUCUCACUGGAGGAGCUUCUGGCAGAGGCAUAGCUGGAGGGCGUGGUGGCAGUGUUGGAGGAACCACCACGUUACCACCAGCAGAAGCAAGAGGCAGCAACGGGACUUGAGAAAGAGCUGUAGUCACGUGAACUGUGUCUACCAGCUGGAGUUCCACGAAAGUAGGAGCAGGAACUUCAGCUCGAUCCUUGUACAGCUUGCUCUCAUCAAAGAGCACAUCCCGUCUUUCCAGCAAAGUCUUGCGCUUGAGAGAAUAAAGGCGAUAUCCUUCCAUGCCUUCCAAAUAUCCCAGGAAAAUGGACGGCUCAGCCUUUGACUCCAGCUUCUGGCGUUGCUUGUGUGGAAAGUGUGCGUAGGCAAAACAGCCAGAAAUGCGGAGACGAUCGUAACCAGGUGCGUGACCAGUCCAAAGCUCAUUAAGGAGUGGUCUUCCCAGGCAGGUGACGUGUUGGCAACCGGUUUCGAACAUAAACAGCCAUGUUAACUGCCUCACCCCAGAAAGCAGCUGCCAUUCCCGCAUGAAUCUAUAAUGGUGCGAUUCACCCUCUCGGCAGCACCAUUCUGGGCAUGUGCAUCAGGGAUAGCAAACUGGUGCUGGAUCCCAGCUUCUGCACAAAACGUCUCGAAUUCUCCAGAGACGAAUUCUCCUCCACAAUCGCAAUGAUUGCAGCGGAGCACAUGAGCUAAACAGCCGUGUAGAUUUUUUACCAAAGCCUUGUAUUGGGAGAAGCAGGAGAACACCUCUGACUUGUGAGCCAGCAGGUACACGAUCAGGUACCGCGUGUAAUCAUCCAGGAAGGUGACUACAUAACGUUUGCCUCCCAAAGAUUCAACCAUAAUCGAACAAACGUCCGAGUGUACCAACUCAAGAACGAGAAUGAAAAAUCUGUGGAAAAGGAAAAACGUGGUGUUUUCCACAAACACAAGCUUUGCAGAUGGGCAGCGUGCUCCCAGGCUCUCCCAGGCACUAGUCAAUUCAUUAGCCCUCAAAUCCGUCCCACGCACACAGCAAUGGUUUCACCCGUUUCCAUGUGAAGCGCCAAGAAUUGUUGAUUCAGCAACAUGGAAGAAUUUGUGGCUUGGGCCACGAAGAUCAUGCGAAGCGACGUCCCGAUUUCAGCAGCGGUGAGAUCAAUCAGCGGCAAGAAUUCAUCGCUCAAUCCUGAAGAGGUGUGGAUACUUCUCUUCGCUGGAAAUCUAUUGUUAGUAAGAAAACAAAAGAGAAAAGGGCUCAAUCUCCAAGGGCUGAGAAAAAGAAUGAUGCUAUGUAUUGAUAAAAAAAAUAAUGAAUGGAGAUAAGGAUUCACAAUUUGGAUUCCCCCCUUUGAAAGGCUGUUGUGAAGAGCCUGCCAGCAUAUGCUAUAUGCUGUGCAUGAUCUAAUCUAUGGCUUCGAUGCAGCCUUAGGUUCAAG
rnacentral:lncRNA from 1 species